UCUCCUCUACGCAAACGGGAGCACGAGGAAGUCAGCUCUCCUCGCGAAGUACUUCUGUUAGCUCCUCGCUUACAUCACCAUAACGAAUUCGUUCUGCGCCGACACUCCCACUUCGGCCGCGUAACCUCUCGGACUCACAGAGACAUACUCUUCUCGACGACAUAUAAAAAAAAGAGAGAAGCCUCGUUCAAAACAUGGAACCGAUACUAAUAAAACAAGACCUUUUAAAGGGUAGAAGCCCCACAUGAUCUCAACAAGAAAGGGGAAUAAAAUAAAAUAAAAUAUAUUCCAAAAAUCGUAGUUAUCCAUUCAAAAGUAAAAGAAAUAUCAAAGACAAAACAGAAAAGAUCGCUCAGAUCUGAUAAAAAAAAAGUAAAAAGAAAAGAGACAAAAAAAUUUAAGAACUAGCUCCUUCGCCGGAAGACGAGCUCACGGGUGCAUCAUUGACAACCGAGUCCUCAGAGAUUUGAGGAAGGUCGAGAUCUGCCACCGACCAAUCCGGAACAGCAGCCAAGCUAGCAGUAACUUCACAAUCCCUCUCCAUUUCUUUUAGACGAACGAUCUCUUCAUCUACCACUAGCCCCUCA
rnacentral:lncRNA from 1 species